rnacentral:rRNA from 1 species
GACGAACGCUGGCGGCGUGCUUAACACAUGCAAGUCGAACGAAGUGGGAACGGGUGAGUAAUACGUGGGUAACCUCCCUCCUUUUUGGGAUAAGCCUUGGAAACGGGGUCUAAACCGAAUCGCUGGGCUCGCGGCCUAUCGGCUGGUUGGUGGGGUGAUGGCCUAGCAAGGCGGUGACGGGUAGCCGGCCUGAGAGGGUGGCCGGCCACAUGGGGACGUGGAUACGGCCCAGACUCCUACGGGAGGCAGCAGUGGGGAAUCUUCCGGAAUGGACGAAAGUCUGAAGGAGCAACGCCGCGUGAGUGAUGACGGCCUUCGGGUUGUAAAGCUGUGUUAAUCGGGACGCGGUACCGGAAUAGAAAGCCACGGCUAACUACGUGCCAGCAGCCGCGGUAAUAC